rnacentral:misc_RNA from 1 species
AAGUCGUAACAAGGUUUCCGUAGGUGAACCUGCGGAAGGAUCAUUACGAAAUUCGGCGCGCUUCGGCGCUGCCUUAUUCACCCACCCUUUGUCUACGCGUACCUCUAUAGCUUCCUCGGCGGGCUCGCCCGCCGCCAGGAACCCACCAAACCCCUUGCAUUAUACACGAAAACUUCUGAUAACAAACCUAAAUUAUCACAACUUUCAACAAUGGAUCUCUUGGUUCUG